AUUAAUUCAAUCGAUUGGUUACUUUGUAAGUUCUUCACUUCCACUUGCACUAUAGUUGAAGAAAGUGAUCGUUACUUUUUUCUAUUCUGUAGUUCAUAUGAUUAUGUUAAGCACCGUAGCGCAUAUUUUAAUUGAAUUCUCAUCAUUUUCUUUCUUCAGAGAGUUCAACUCCAAGGAAUCGUGAACGCUCCUAUUCUCCACCCAGGUAAUAAUCUGAGUUUGAAUUCUUUUGUUUAAUACUUUUUUGUGCGAUGCUCAAACUCACAUUCUCAGACCAAACCCCUUCCUAGAACAGAAACAAUAGAACAAUGAACAAUAUAAAAAACCAACCCAGACUGCUGACAUAUUACUAAUUUAAUACAACUUCCGGUGACAAGAAAACAAAAACAAUAAUUCAGAUAGUUUACUGGACAUUUGAGAGGCCAAGCUCUUUACUUAGACAAUAGAAUUGAACUCACUAAUUCAAUAACGUAACUAUGAAAUGUUUUUACCCUCAUUAUCAGCUGUCCACCUGUGUUUCACGUGCCUCCUUUUCUGUGUUUAGUUGUAUUUCUUCUAGCAUUUUCCUUUCCUUCAUUCCCCUUUUUACCCUUCGGGGCACUUCUUUGAUUAGUGAGAAGUCAACAGGCUGUUUAGUCUAGGGUAUUACAGUUUGCUUGAAGAACAAUUUGCUGAUGAUAUGUGACUGUGUAGAUGGGUUUUUAGGGUUAUUGCUCAUAUCUUAGCUUCUUAAUAUAGUAUCUUGUAUAAAACAAUUUUAGUCGUAUUCACCAAUAAUACUAACAUAUGGGGAGAAUCAUUGUUUCUGGAACAUAACCAAGACGUGUUCAAUUGGAUUAUAAUUCAUGACUAUUAUGCAUGACUUUUAUGUAUAAGAAUUCUGGAGUUAUAAUUAUCCGUGCCUGUUUCAGUGAAUAGUUUAAGGACUAAAGAAUAUACCCUCCUAAUAAAUCUGCAUGAUUUCUCUUUUGUUUGCUUGUUGAAUCCAAUACGUUCACAUCUUAAUUUCUGAUUCCAACUAUUUGCAAAUUGUGCAAUAACAAAGCUUCAGGAAAAUUUGCAUGUUUAAUGUUAAAACUGAUGGUUUGCUGUCAUUCAUAUCAGGUCAAAUGCCAAAAAUUCCGAUGAUCAACCAAAAGUGGAGAAGUUGUCUUUGAAGAAGGGAAUAGGAUCUGAAGCCAGGGCCGAGCGUUUGGCCAAUGCUGAUGUGGACUUGCAACUGUUGGGAGAAGCUGAACGAGAUAGGCAGCUACAAAAGCAGAAGAGGCGCCGGCGUCAUGGGCACGAAGAUGAUGUAUGCCACAAAUUUAUAAUGUUCUUAUCAUUUGUCAUUUAUGACUUGCCCAUCCUCUUUUUUUGUGCUUUUAUUGCAAAUUCUUCUUUUGCCUUCAGCAAUUCUCUGAGGUAUUUAAAAUGAUUGCUCAUCAUUGACUUGCUGUCUUGAUAAAUACUGUUAACAGGCCUUAGAUUGCUACGUUUGCCACCAAUGCUUUUCUUGGUCACUCAUCAAUCAAGUUGCAUAUAACAUGUUUCAAAAAUUAGAGGGAGUUGGAACAACUGAUUGUUUUGAUAUUAUUGGCAGCAUAUCACCUUUUAAAUUAUAAAUAUUAUUCUUGAAAAAUUCAUGAGAAAGAAGUUUGUACCUAGUGCGCAAUGCUUUUGCAUGAGCAAGGUUUGAAAAUGUCUGAUGUUCCCAGCCUUGCCUUUAAUUCUAAUGAGGAGGCUGUUUCCGGUGUUCAAACCUGUGACCUUUUUUUUUUGCUAAAUAGAAUUUUUACAAAAAGGAAAAAGGAAAUACAGCAUUAGGGGCACACCCCGCACAAAAUGCAAGAACAGUCCCAAAUCCCAAUAGAGGGCUAAAAAACAGCAAGCUCCUAGCCGCUUCUAGCUACUAACAAAGCUUACAAUCAUCAAUAAACAGGACUAGGAAACAAAGGAAAUAACUCACAGGCAGAUUACAUGUGACUUUGUCGAUAGCAAGUAGACACAUUUAAAUUUAAUGAUAUUGGACAAAUAGAAACUAGUACAUUGGCCCAUGUUUCUAUUUUUCCCUUAGGGACGUUGGAUUAAAAUGAACACGACGCAGUGAUUAAGAAAAUAUUAAUGGCUACUUAAGUAUAGAGUGAGUGGAAAGUCGAGAGCUUUUGUCACUUUAAAUUUCUUGUUACUCAGUUGUACUAUUUCGUCUUUCUUUAUUUUUGUUUCAACUUUGAAUUCUUAUUGACAGGUGCUAGCAAAGCUUGAAAAGUUUAAGGCCACCAUGUCCUCCAAAUCUGUUGGAGCUGAUGGUGAAUCUGGAGGGCACAAGGAUGAGGACUUGUCUGACUGGACAAAAGUUAAGCUCAAGUUUGAACCUCAAUCUGGAAAGGUAAUUUUCCUUUCUCCUUUGUCGAGCAUCGCAUGAUGCAGUGAUAGCAUAACAAGAAAUUUUAAGAGAUCAUAAAGUAUGAAAAAUGGAGAAUGAUGAAUAAGACUCGCUCAAUUCCAAAGUGGGGGAUGCUCGGCGGUCUACAAAGGAAUGUACCAAUGUAAUUUAUGGGAUUGUGAGGCAGAUGAAGAUUAAAGGCUUGUGGGGCGACAAUUUGGACACCUAUCACCAAUUAUGUGAUAAAGUGGUUAUCCAUGGAAUUAGAAAGCGAGUGGUUACUGUAGAUAUUGUGAAUCCUUUUGAGGAAAAAGAAUCUUUUUCGAAGGGGAAAACAAUUGAUUGGAUGUAGGUACUCGACGUCAUGUUCCGGAAGAUAUUGGGUGGUGUUGGACUUCUGCUUUUAAGAGUAUGGCAGAACUUGUAUGAUAGGAUGAAUGAAUUUGCAAAUAAAGAUUUGUAUUAGAAGAUGACUGGGGAUGAAAUUGAUGCAACUUCUAUUUAACUUUUGGUAAUCAAGGAUCAUUUCUGCUCUUGAGAUUGGACGGGAUCAGUGACACUAUAUAAUCACUCUUGUUAUAUUGGUUGUCGAAACCUGAGAUGGUUUAUUGGUUGUCGAAAUCUGAGAUGGUGGAGGGGGAGAUUGUUCUAAAGAUUGAGGCUGACCUAAAAUUUUGUUAUGAACAAGCUCGCCAUGUUUUAAAGGAAUUAGGUAAAAAGUAUCAAGAUGACAAUCCAUGGAGUCAGUUUCUCUCAAGUAAUGAAUAUGGCAGAAAUGCCUUGCAACAGAUAAGAUGCAUUCGUCCCUCCAUUAACAUUACAGUGAAAAACCACAAGACAAUUCCAAAGAAUUAAAAUAUUUCGAGCAUAAAUAUAAAAUUGAAUCCACACGCAUGAUAGGUAUGUUAAGAUGGUGGUGUGUGAAUGCUUCUUUCCAUUUCUGGACUGUAGGUCACUGACUAUUCUCCUAAAUUCCAUUCACACACUACCAUCUCGACUUACCUAUUGUGCUUGGUUUCAGUUGCUCCUCAGGCCCCGAAAUAUUUUAAUUCCUUAGAUUUGUCUUGUGUUUUUUCACUGUAGUGUUGGACGGACUGAAUGUAUCUUAUUUAAUAGAAGGAACUUCUUCCAUAACCAUUACUUUGAAGAAAAUGACUUAAUGGGUUGUCCUUUUGUAUAACAUCAAACCAUCUAAACUACUCUUGAUGCUUUUUAUCUACUUCCUUUAAAAUAUGACGACGUUGAUAAAGUUCAUGAUCAGUUUCAAUCUCCGGAGUAAUCACCUCUUCACCAUCUCAGAUUUUAACAACCAAUAUAACAUAGACCAAAGGUGGUUAUAUAGUGCCACUAUUCACGUCCAAUCCCAAUAGAAAAAAUGUUUCUUGAUUAUUAUAAGUUUGACAUAAAUUGCAUCAAUUUUAUUCCUGGUCAUCUUCCUGAACGAAUCUUCAUUUGCGAAUUCAUUCAUCAUUUCUUACAAGCUCUUCCAUACUCUUGGAAGGGGAAGUUCAACAUCUCCCAAUAUCUUCUGGAACAUGAUGUACAUUUACCUGCUGAUCAUAUCAUUAUCAACUGUUUUCUCAUUCGAAUCAUAUUCUUUUUUAUCAAGGGAAUUCACAAGAUCCACAAUGACCACUUCCUUUCUAGUUCCAUAGACAAUUAUUCUGUGAAAUGAUAGGUGAUAGCUGUCCAGAACGUGGGGAUGCCCAUGCACAAGCCCUUUGAUUUUCAUGUCAAAUACUACCUUCACAAUCCUAUGAACUAAAUUGGUAUAUUCCUUUGUAUUCCGCUGAGCAUCCCACUUUGGAAUUGAAGAAGUCUUAUUCAUCGCUCUCCAUUUUGUCUCAUUCCAUCCCAGUUUGGAAUUGGAGAGGUCUUACUUAUCGCAUGUCAAGUUUUGUAGAAGAUCAUUUGAUUAGUGUUAUCUUAAAUAUUAGAUUGUGAUAGACACUAUUGCAACAGGAUAAUAUGACUCGCAGUGAGAAUGUGAACGACUAUGUAGUUCAUGACCCUCUUCUUGAGAAGGGAAAGGAGAAGUUCAACAAAAUGCAAGCAAAGCAAAAGCGACGAGAACGAGAAUGGGCUGGCAAGUCGCUUACAUAGUCCAGACUUGGUCCUCUCUAUUUGAAGUUAUGCUGGAUUUGGCAAGGUCACUCAUAUAGAACUUAAAUCUCAGCUAAUUCUGCAGAGUAUUUAAAUCUAUUGAUCUGUAUAGCUGUUGGCUUGAACUGCAUAAUGGGACAUCAAUCUGUUGGUUGUGCAAAUCCUUCCAAGCUGCAAAAGCAUCAUCAUUACCUUAUUCUGGAAUCCCACCCUCUUUUGUGACUUUACUGCAUAGCGGCCAGUCGGCCACCAUUGAGUGAUCUUGUAUAAUAGGAUCAUAGUACAUUUUGAUCCAUGUCAAUUGUAAAAUAUUAGAAGACAGCUGCAAUAGCAGCAAAUAUUCUCCGUUACAAUCAAUUUAGCUCCUUAUAAGUAAUCAGCAACUGAUGACGUGACUAUAAUGUGUUGAUGUUGUUUCUCUAUAUAACAAAGGUCAUAUUUGUUUUUAGGAAGAUUGUUUAGCUUGUUUACGAUGAUGCAAGUGAUUAUAAUCUCCCCGAUUCAUUUUCGCAAGAUUACAUUAUUUGUAAAAUUAUUAUAAUCUCAUGAAAGUGAAUAAGUUAAUUACAAUAUAAUUUACCGAGAUUAUAGUUCUUUUGAAUUUCAGGUAGAAUAAUAUGAUGGUUUGGAAUUAUAAUCUCAUAAACAAAUAGGUGAGGCAUAAAUUGUAUGUACUCAUAUUAUUGUAUUCCAGUAAAAAAAAGUAAAUGUAAAUUUGUAGUGUUAUAAAUACAUUGUGCAAUAGGAGGUUUAUUACUUUAUUUUGCUCAUUGUGGUGGUAAUAGGAUUAGAGUCUGUAAAUUGUGUUAGCGAGUUGCACCAUUAAUUUUAAGUAUAGUAACUUUGCAUGCUCUUAGGGUGAAAUUCACAUCUAAAAUUAUCUUCUGAAAACCGUAACAAAAAUUAAAUACUUCUCAAACAUGAUUCAACUGUGGUUUGUUGCAGGCUGUGAAUCAGAUUUCACACAGACUGGUACCAUGAAAUUGAGUUAUAAAGGGGUGUCGCAGAAGUCUAUCGCCAGUCCAUCUAUCAUUCUUAUUCAUCGUCAUACACCUCCUCAAGAAAUCCUUUGCCUCUCUGGACAGAAACUCCGGUAAUAUCUCCAGCCACUUGUCCACACUCUCCUUGCACAUUAUCAGCAACAUAACAUCUAGUUGAACAUUACUACACCACAAGGACUUGCCAACAAGCAUCUCCGCCACCACGGACCCAAGAGCCCAUAUAUCCACUCCCACAAUGCCUACCUCACCUGCAUUAUCACAACUCGUGCUUUUAGCCAAUCCAAAAUCCGCUAUCUUGAGAGAAUACUCAUCUUCCCCGUCCUCUUGUUUUGUCACAAAAACAAGAAUAUUAUCCGGCUUUAUAUCACCAUGAACAUAACCCUUGUGAUGCACAUGACAGAGGCCUUUGAGCAACAUAUAAGUAAACUUGCUCACUUCAAAUUCUUGCAUCCGAUCACCCGAAACCUCCAUAAGUUGCUCCAAAGUGCCUCCAUUGGCAUACUCAAGUAACAGAUUGUAGACCAGCUUACCGUUUUCAACACUAAAAGCGCAACCAAAACACUGGACAAUCUGGGGACAGCCUUUAAGAUCAUCUAGUAUAGUCUUCUCAAGUUGAAGAGUCGAUGAACUAUUGGCGUCUGCUAAUUUCAAGGCCACGUAUGAUGGAAUAGAGGACGACGAAUGUGACACUAUUUUUGCCAAGUAAACGGAUCCCCAUAACCCUUCUCCCAGAAACCUGAGUUUUUCCCACUCCAAGAUCGAAGCCUUAUUCAUGAUCAUAUUCUUCUUCUUCUUUAAUCUCUCGAGUUCUUGUUAUAAGACAACAGAAAUUGAUUUCUACGUUCGGGAUUUAGGUACUGGAACGUAUGUAUUAUAGACCUAAAGUAAGGGAAUCCAAAUACAGUUAGGACUUGUAUCUUCUUUUUCUAAUCGAAUUAUAAGAAUAUUUUCAAAGAACGAGCGUAUAUCUGCCUAAUGCCUAUAUCGAAACCUAUAUAUUCUCGUAUGUAUUCGAAUUAUUAAAUUUCCUACCCGAGUUGCUAAUCAUCGAACCGCCACUUCUAGCCUUGCUGGAAUAGGACUGUUUAAACUCAACUGUGAAUUAGGACUCGGAACCUUGCGAUUUGUUUUAAACAAGUCCUAUGUUCUUUAUGAUUUUAGUAUUUUGCCUAUAAAUAGAGCUUAUGCUGUUUGGUUUUUAUGCAUAAAAGAACCUGCUUAAUUAUACCUCACUUUAUUGAAAUUAUUAUAUUCUCGUUCCAAACCCCUCGUGUUUAUUUAACCUAGCUACAUAUAUCACCAAUGUCGUUGCCGGUCGAUAUCUUGCUAGAAAUUCUUUACAGGCUGCCAGUUGCAUCUCUUGUUCGAUUUAGGUGUGUUUGUAAAACAUGGUAUCAUAUCAUGGCCACUCCUUGGUUCGCUAAAUCUCAUCUCGCAUGUCAACAAGCUUCCUCAUCCUCAAAUAAGUAUAUCCUAUAUCAUGAUGACAAUUUGUGCACUUUAUUCACCAAUAGUGACCCCCUCUUUGAUAGUACUAAACAUUCUAAACUAUUCUACACGCCUGAAUUAUUCGGGAUUGAUUUCACUUGUAACAACCGGGAUUUAGAGAUUUACGGAGCUUGUCAUGGGCUAGUAUGUGUGUCGCGUGCGUGCUAUCAUAUUGGCAAUAACAUACAUCUGUGGAAUCCGAUUUGCAGAAAAGUCAAAAAGCUUCCGCAAAUCGAAACCCCAAUCAAGGAUGAGUUCGGUCUUGAAAUCCCAAUCAAGGAUGAGUUCGGUCAUGAACCGUCUGCUGGAAUGACCUUCGGAUAUUACUGUGACGACUAUAAGGUGAUAGUCAUUGUUUAUGUUAAAAGUACCUUCAUUGUUUUUGUUUACAGCUUGAGUACUAAUAGCUGGAACACCAUUCAAACAAUAAAUUUCUAUAUUGACAUAAAAUCUAUUGAUUAUUUUGUCUGCACUACCAAGUUUGUAGAUGGCACUGCAUAUAUGUUGACAUCCAUCGAACUAGUCGUUUGUUAUGAAUUGAACAAUAAGACCUUCCGAGUGAUCAAGCUUCCUGAAGAUAAUGAUAUUGCUACUAUGGAAGCAUAUGGAGAAACUAUAGCUCUCCUGGAAACAGACCAGAAUUAUCUAACCAUGUGGAUAUUAAGAGACAAGUCGUCCUCGUCGCCCUGGGAAAGGAAGUUCAGCAUUGCAGUGCCUGAAGUUAGUAGCCUUCGAGUUACUACUAGCUUUCAGGCUGUCGGAUUCUUGCCUAAUGGUAAAUAUUUGUUGAGGAAUUUUGAAUUGGAAGGGGAUUCAUGUGUAACCAAGUUGUCUUUGUGUGACACGGAGAUUCCAAAUUUAACAGAAUUUAGAUCAUUUACAGAAUUAAGAUCUCGUUUUAGACUUCCACCAAAAUAUCCAACCCUGCAUGGCCGCAUAGACUCUAACUUCGUGGAAAGCCUUCUUCUAUUUAAUGAAGAUAACCUGCAUCCUUUUUCUCUGACGGAGAUGGAUUCUACCUGCAGUUCUACCUUGUUUACGUUGCAGUGGAGCCCAACCCAAUAAGUUUUUAAUGCAUUGCAGCAUGGUGGAAGGAAAGAGCUUAGAAGAAAAUUUGAUAAGUACUCCGUCUGUUCUACUCAUUUCUAUACAAUAUUUUUCAUUGUGAGAGUUAUAUAUAUAAUAUAGUUUUAUAACUGUUUUCUGAAUUAAACAAUGAGAAAAAAUGAAGUUAAAAGGAAAAUGUGUUUUAUCCUUCUUAAAACGGUUUUUCUAUAAUAUAUUUGCAGGCCUGUAAGUUCUGGAAUGCGAAUUGGUGCCCGAAGUUUGUUGUUAUUAUUGUAUAGAAAAAUCACCAUACAAGGUUUAUUAUGAGUAUUGAAUUGGUGCCCGAAAUUUGUUGUCAUUAUUGUACAGAAAAAUCAUCAUACAAGAUUUAUUAUGAGUAUUUUUACUUGUUAGUUAAAUGUCUGAUAUGUUUUAUGCCAUUAUUGCAUCGAUUUCCUUGUCUCUUGAUAUAAUUUGUCGUUUCCUCAUGCUGUCUAUACCGACUUGCUCUCUGUACUACUCCCUCUCUCCCUCUCAUUUCUUUACCGUUACUAUUUUGGGAUGUCCCUCUCAUUUCUUUACGUUACUAUAAAUAGUAAUUCCGUCAGAUGCAUGAGUAUAUCUAAUUCCCUUUAUUAUACUUACUCCAUACCUUAUGGCCAAAUGAUAUGGAAAUGAAACAGAAGCCUGGAUUUAUUGGUUGCAGUUUGCUUAGGAGUUAGGAUGAACAUGUUUAAAAGUGUUUUUGUAAAUUGCUGCGUCAAGUUCAAGCUGUUUAUUGUUUACCAUCUUCUGUUGUUAUUUGAAUGCAUAUGCUUUAGUAUAUUUUUUCUUGCAAAUAUGUAAAUACUUCAUUGUGGAGAUGCCACUUAACUUGUUACAACUGCUGCUGUGCACAUAGUAUACCCCAGCUAAGUAAAGACUACAAAUGACUAGCUGAUCUCUCUUGUUUCUGCAUCUCUGCCCGGAAUCUAACAAUAAAUUCCUCAGCCCUUUCAUUAAUUCCAUACAUUUGUGGCGAUCCUAAGACCAAUGACUCCCACAUAUCAUCCGCACUUGUAUGCUUCUUCCUUUCUUUCACAUCGUCUUCCCUGCUGCUUCUUAUCGACUCUGCACUAACUUGUUGGUCAAUGAGUUUAGUCUUCUCUGUAUGUGGCAAACACUUCUUGAUCUGGUUGUUUGAUGCUGCUGUACUCGAUUCAUCUUUAUUUACAAAGAGCUGGUCUAUAUACACCGGAGGUGGAAUUCUUUUCUGAGCCCUGUAACGGCCGUGAGAGAUGAAUUUGCAGACUCUGCUAGUCCCUCGUCCCUGUUGGCGAUAAGAUGGAAAGGAUGACAAGGCUGCCCAGAAAGAUGGUUUUGCUGUAGCUUUGAGCCGAUUCUUCGUCUUUGGCUUCUUUAUGGCCUUGGUUAGUUGGAGCUUGUAGAGGUUGGUUUUUAUUUUUCGGGUGAAAACUCUCCAAGACUUCCUAGCCGAUGGAAGCCUCCUACCAUUGAAACAAGACAUGGGGGAUAAAUGUUGUUUGUGCAGGUUUUGUGAAGAGUACUUGAGAUGUCCUUAUAUAGACAGCCAUUGUGUGUCACUUGAGCAAUUUUUUACCAUACUACUUAGUUCUUACGCUACUUCUUAACACAAAGCAUAGUCAGUAGAGUACUUGUUAAGUACGAAAAGUAGUCAAUUUUCGUUCACUAGAAAUGAAUAAAUACUAAAGUAUUGUAUUAGAGAUGUAGACAUAAUUUCCUUUUGAUAUCUAUCUACCCCAACUUGUAAAAUAUUCCAAAGUAGCUUGAAGCUUAAGCACAAAGCAAGAUCAAAACUCUAAACAUUCGCUUGUCUUGCAAAGAACUUUUACCAAAGAUGGCUGCUCCAACAAUUCCUACAUAAUCUUAAAAGGGAGCUACUUGAUCCUUAUACGAAAUUCUGAAGGUGCAUGCAAAAACAGCUGGAUGCUUACUAAUAGUAAUACUUAAUCAUAAGCUAGUAACAGUUGUUCAGUGAAUAUGAAGAUGAAUCGCAAAAAAUAACCCACAUAAGAUCAGCUAAUCAUGUACUUUACAAUUGAUUUUAUGAGAUUAAAUGCUAAUUUAUGAAAUGCCAAUAUUAUAACUAUAAAUCUUUACAAGAGCCGCAAAAUAAUUACUACCAGAUCAGAGCAUCUCCAAUAACCUCUUAACUAAGCUCUUAAGACCAAAAAUAAGGAGCAUGAGAAAAAAUAGAGCUCUUGUGGCUCCUAAAAAUACUAAGAGUCUCUUCUCUCUCCUCUCUUUUUUCCUCUCUUUUAAGAACAUCUACAUGACUCUUGUUUUUUAUACUAGAAUACAAUAUUCACUCUCACCCAUCUGAAUUUGAAUUUUUGUCAUAGUGGAGUUCAAAUAAUAAUAAAAUAUAAUGUUAAGAGUGAAUAUAAAGAGCAUCGUUGAAGUUUAUACUCUUAAUACUGUACUAAAUUACUACGAGCUUAAUAUUUUAUAUUAUAUUUAGGAGCCAACUAGGAGACUAUGCCAUACAAAAAAAAAAAAAAAAAAAAAAAAAAAAAAAAAAAAAAAAAAAAAAAAAAAAAAAAAAAAAAAAAAAAAAAAAAAAAAAAAAAAAAAAAAAAAAAAAAAAAAAAAAAAAAAAAAAAAAAAAAAAAAAAAAAAAAAAAAAAAAAAAAAAAAAAAAAAAAAAAAAAAAAAAACUAA
rnacentral:lncRNA from 1 species